CCUCUCAUGGCGUAGUGGUAACGCGCCCCUACUAGAGAUCGGGGAGUCGUGAGUUCGUUUCUCACUGAGAAGA
rnacentral:tRNA from 1 species